GCGGGGGUUGCCGAGCCAGGUCAAAGGCGGGAGACUCAAGAUCUCCUCCCGCAGGGGUUCGCAGGUUCGAAUCCUGCCCCCCGCA
rnacentral:tRNA from 1 species